rnacentral:rRNA from 1 species
GCCCCACCCACCUAGAGGAGCCUGUUCUAUAAUCGAUAACCCCCGCUUAACCUCACCACUUCUUGCCAAUACCGCCUAUAUACCACCGUCGCCAGCCCACCCCGUGAGGGAAAUAGUAGGCACAAUGAUAAGUCACCAAAACGUCAGGUCAAGGUGUAGCGUAUGAAGUGGGAAGAAAUGGGCUACAUUCUCUAACCUAGAGCACACGAAAAAUCAUAUGAAAUUAGAUCAGAAGGAGGAUUUAGUAGUAAAAAGAAACAAUAGUGUUCUUUUUAAGUUGGCCCUGGGGCGCGCACACACCGCCCGUCACCCUCUUCAACUAAUAAAACACGAUUUAUAAAACAUAAAACAAACACAAGAAGAGGUAAGUCGUAACAUGGUAAGUAUACCGGAAGGUGUGCUUGGAAUUA